UGGCGGCCGCGCAGCAGCGUCCCGGCUCGCGGCCGGCGCGGGCACACGGCGAGGGGGCUCUGGAGCCGCCCCGAGGACCCCCCCCCCGGGAAUCGCCGGGAGGACACACCCCGCACCUGCAGGGGGAGAAGCGGCCACACCGAGGUCGGCGGGAAGUGCCGAGGCUCAGCGCGCGGAGAACCGGCCCCAGAGCGCCGGGCUGUGGAGGUGAGGGGGGCGGGGGUCUGCGAGGUUUUGCGGCCCGCCCGGAGGCCUGAAGGCCGGAGCACUCGGCUGCGGUAGAGCCCCGCGGGCGCGGCGCUGCUCCCGGAGAGAGGGCAGAGGACGGGACGCGGGCGUGCGAGGGGCGCCUGGGGCGUGGCCGCGUUCGCCGAGCGGAGACUCCCGUCCGGGAACAGAGGCCGGCCGCGGCAGGGCCAGCAGCCCCGGCAGCUCCGCGGGGCCAGGCUGCGGCCCGCUAACCCCCCGCCCGCCCCCCACACACGGCGGCCCCUCCGCCAGAACACCUGCACCAACCCCUGCCCUCGCCGCGUCUACCGACGUGAUGCCCCGCGGCCUUCAGCGCUCGUGGAAGGAGCAUCAGGUCUCUAACAAGCGAACCAGAGCACACCUGCUUAAAACUCGCCACGGAGCCUCUGCAGACGCCUGGUGUGAAGGGAGCGGCAGCCCAAACGCAGCCGCACGGUGCACCCCGCACACACCAGACACACUAACGAGAAGCCAGGCCGCGCGCGGGCCCUACACGACCCCUCCUUCACGAGGCCGUCGCUUUCAGGAGCAGGAAACAACUGGCUUUUUCUAACAACGGAGAAGGAGGCGGAGACUCAGACAAAAAUGCAAACACAGAGGAAUUUAUACCAAGAGAAAGGACAAAAUAAGGCCAUGGCCAGAAUAAGAAAAACAGAAUCACACAGAGAGAGAGAUUGGCAGAGACACAGGCAGAGGGAGAAGCAGGCUCCAUGCACCGGAAGCCCGACGUGGGAUUCGAUCCCGGGUCUCCAGGAUCGCGCCCUGGGCCAAAGGCAGGCGCUAAACCGCUGCGCCACCCAGGGAUCCCUGUCUGAUAGAAUCUAAAUGAGAAUUUAGAGGACCACUCGUAAGGAUGCUGUGUGGACUUGAGAUGGCAGUCGAAGGCUUCACGGAGACCAAUGUGGCACAGAUAAGACAGGAUUGUUGAGAGGUAAGAGAGUUGCCAAUAAAUGAGGUUGGAAACAGGAGGAAUGCAAUGAACAACAGGAUGAAAGAAGCAAAGGAACAAAUUAUUGACACAGAAGAUAAAGUAACAGAAGGUAAGCAAACUGAACAACAACAACAAAAAAAGGAUUACGCAAAACAAGGGUAGACUUAGGGAACUCAGUAACUCCAUCAAAUAACACACGAUAAACAUUCGUAUUCUAGGGAUCCCAGAAGGAGAAGAGAGAGAAAAGGUGGCAGAAAAUUUGAAGAAAUAAUAGCUGAAAACUUCCCUAAUCUGAGGAAGGAAACAGAUAUCCAGAUCCAAGACUCGGAGAACCCCCAACAAAGGCUGAUCCACACCACAACGUAUUAUCAUUAAACUGGCAAAAUAUGGUAAUAAGGGGGAAAAAAAAUCUUAAAAGCAGCAAGACAAAAGGAGAUGGUUACUUACAAGGGAAAACCCGUAAGUCUAGUCACAGAUUUUUAGCACAAACUCUCCAAGCCAGAAGGCAUGAUAUAUUCAAAGAGCUGGGAGGGAAAAAAAUCUCCAGUCACAAAUACUCUAUCCAGGAUAACAAAACUAUCCUUCAAAGUAGAAGGAGAAAUAGUUUCACAAACAAACAAGGACUUCCUGUGUCAAUGCUGAAAUUGGAGGACAAAUAAUUAUGUACCCAGAUAGACAGAUGCUGGGUAAUAGCACAUGCAAGAAACCUUGGGAGACUUUUCUUCUAGUCUACCUUCCCCUAAAUAGUUCCUCCAUCCACCUAUCCAUCGGCCCAUUGAAACACCCCUCUCUCCCUCCUUUCCCUUCUCCCUUACCCAUCAGCUCAGGGAGGUAGUGUCACAUAAUGAAGUCUACAGACUACCAGCAGAAUGCCUGGAUUCUCACCUCUUAACUGUGUUCUUUGGUAAGCUACUUAAUCUUGCUAAGUUUUGGCUUCUCUGUCCUUGAAAUGGAAAUAAAACUAGACUUCUCAGGACACCUGGAUGGCUCAGCGGUUGAAGGCCUACCUUCAGCCCAGGGCAUGAUCCUGGUAUUGCAGGAUCGAGAUCCACAUUGGGCUCCCUGCAUGGAGCCUGCUUCUCUCUCUGCCGGUGUCUCUGCCUCUCUUUUUCUGUGUCUCUCAUGAAUAAAAUAAAAAAUAAAACUAG